ensembl:lncRNA
UUCAGGGUUUAGAUCAUAGACUGUAAAAAAGAGGUUUAGAUGCUGAAACGUUAACAGAUUUUGUGGAUAAAGUGAACAAUGCCACCAAAGGCAAUAAAGGAGCAAUAGUUCAAUCUGAAAUUACAGUUUCAGCAAUGGUGGAAACACUUAACAAUAUUGCAAAUAUCACUCAAACUGUUAUGCUGGAUGAAGGUGUCAUAGAGUUGUUGCCCUUCAAGUCAAGAAACUGCAAAGUGAUGCCUUUUAACAUCUCUCAUCAUUUAUCUUACAGAAUUUCCUCAGUAUAGUGGAUGUCAUUUCAUCAGAGACCGUGAAACCUGUAUGGAAACAGCUAAAUUCAAAUGGCAAAGGAAAGAAACAGCUCUUAAUUCUUCAAUGUCACUGAAAUUGUUAUAAAAUCGACAUCAGACACCAAUUUCAACAUAACCAGUCAAACAACUCAUUCCUGUUCAAAAAAGUAACCACAUCUGAAGACUUCAAGGAAGUAUUAAAGCUCAACUCAACAGCUGAAAUAAUCAUCCCGGAUAUUGCAUCUAGUCAUAAAAACAUUACAAUCACAGCAGUGGCCUUCUCCUCCCUAGGCCUGCAAGAAAUCAUAACGCAAGCUUGGUUGUAUGCCUUAUCAUCAAAAUGAUUAUCUGGAAGGAAGUAUCUAGAAACUCUACAUCACAUGUUCGACUUCAAGCUCUGGAGUUCUUCCAACAGAACGACUCUUACCGAUAACACCCUUAUGAGAAGAGGGAGGCAUGCUGGGUCAAAUUCCUCACACAGCUCUGGAGCAUCACUAACUUUUCUAAAUGCUUAGCAGGACAGACAGGCGCCUUCAUUUCCUGUCAGUACAUCUUUGUAAUGCUGGGUCCAGUGCCACAGGCACAACUUCAUACUGAAAAAGUUUGAUUUCUGUCUUUCUAAAUGCUUGACUAUAACUCUAAUAUUCAGUACUUUUUUCCUGUUUUCUAUUAGUGAUCCAGAUUGA